GAUGAAGAACGCGGCGAAAUGCGAUAAGUAGUGUGAAUUGCAGAAUUCAGUGAAUCAUCGAAUCUUUGAACGCACAUUGCGCCCUUUGGUAUUCCUUAGGGCAUGCCUGUUCGAGCGUCAUUUAAACCUUCAAGCUAAGCUUGGUGUUGGGUGACUGUCCGCUUCACGGCGGACUCGCCUCAAAAUUAUUGGCGGCCGGUACAUUGGCUUCGAGCGCAGCAGAAACGCGAACUCGGGCCCGUCGUAUUGGCUCCCAGAAGCUAUCUUCACAAUUUUGACCUCGGAUCAGGUAGGGAUACCUGCUGAACUUAAGCAUAUCAAUAAGCGGAGGA
rnacentral:misc_RNA from 1 species